GGUAAAGUGAGGCUAAAGUUACGCUAGAAUGACACACUUUUGUUAGGUAUGUUUAUGCUUGGUGCAUAAUUACAUCUAACCUGUUACCCUCACGUUACAUGAACGUUAGCUAUGUUUUGCUUUGGGCGGUUAGGUAGUUGUUAGGGUAGUUUUUGCUGGGAUUUCAUGCUGAUUUAUUUACACCCAGCUGUCAUCGGAGGCAGAAUGAUUAUGUACUAUUAAAAGUACAUAAGUACAUAACUGCCUCGAAUGACAGUUGAAUGUAAAUAAACUAUUAAUAAAAAUCUUCGAGUACAUUUCCCGCAUAAAUAUUUAAUAGUUUUAUUGAUCGAACUUCAUUUUUUUUUAAAUAAAUACAAUGAGUCAUUAAGCUGAUAUCGCAGUGCCUGGUUCCAACGGAACGUUUGUUGUUCACGGAAAAGUUGUGAAUUGUCCGGCAAAUGGUGCAAAUGGCACUAUGAAUGCCCGUCAGUUACCGGAGCCUGGUAACAACACUUUUGCAGCGUAUGAUCAACGCCGAAGAUGAUUCUCACAUCGAGGGAAGUCCGGAAAAGCCACCCCCGAAAGCCAAGAAACCAGCGGUAGCUAAGAAACAUCACACGCCAGCUAAAUCUUCUAAGAAGCACAACGAGCUUUUCUCCCAGCAAUCUCCCAUCAAAACCCGGAUCGAAGCACUUGAGAAGGCAGCCGUGGGUUUGCCGUAUAAGUGUCGCGUUGCCUCCCAGAACAAGACCCCAUCCCAAUGGACUCGAUUCCCUUCAAAGGCUUCCACCAUCACAUUCGUUUCUCAGCGAUAUCCUUCUUCCGCCAAAGCCAGCAUCGCUCAGACCACGCCAAAGUACUCUUACAGAUUCCAAAUGAAUCUCCUUUUCCGCUUCAAGCUGGCAAAAUCAACGGUUUCUUGUAACCGAUCGUUACAAUCAUUCCUUUUGUUGGCUCCACCACAAAACAUAAAUAGUAUUUUUUAUGCGUGUACCAAUUAGAUUGUAAAGUGAGCGGCGGCUCUCACGGUUCUGUGAGGCUCUCACGUUCUCUUUCUCAAUCCAUUCGCAUUGGAUAUUUGUUGUCAGCGGUUUGAACUACAACAAAAACAAACGCUUGCCCCUAUCACAAUUUUGUGAUACCCAUGUAACGCUACCGAGCAUACAUUCAAGAGAAUAUGAAUUAAGGUAUAGGAGGUGAGUUGUAAAUGUCAAACAUCGGUUUUCAAGAUGUCUGCCCUCGAUCUUUUCCUUAAAAAAAAUAUAUAUAUAUCUCAGCCGAAGAAGGAGAAAAUUCUUUUCUGUUCGACCUUUCAAGGAAGCAGUGCGCGACGUGUCUAAUAAUUUAAAAUUUUUGGUUAGAAAUCGAAUAGCCAAUUUAGUGAAAAUUUUGAUAAUUAAUUUGUGUCUCGUUAUAGAUAAUAUUCGAAAGCUAUAAAAGUAACUAUAACUAAUAGUACGGUCAGUGCUAACUACGAAAAGUUAGUCCGUACGUACAACAGUGUGUGCCAACGAAAAAACGGAAAAAUCGUUAAAUAACUAGAUAUACCCAAAGAAAAAGGUCCGACAUCGGGCCUUUUUUCUUCUUUUGGGGUUCUUUCGGGAACCAUUCCGUUUCCCCCCACAGGAAGCUCGAGGGAUAGUUCGUCGUCCGGAAUACGCGCACCUGCAUAAUCCUAAACCUCGUCUAGGGUCGAUAGAAAAGGCAGGACGACAGAAUCAUCAAGCUUCCUCGAGGGUGGAGGAGAAUAUCUGACGCCAUUUUGCUUGGUAUUAAUCCAUCCGGGGUCGCCUUCGAUCAUCCGCCAUCGUAAAUCGGGGAUUUUGGAAGAAAGUUCAUCGUUCUCCCUGGCGACAAUCCGCCGGACACACCAAAUAACGCCGAACGUCGCCUUCAGCUACGAACGCCGCCUUCAGCUACGAACGCCGCCUUCAGCCACGAACGCCGCCUCAGCACUAGAACGCCGCCUUCGGAACUGGAACGCCGCCAUUCGCCACGAACGCCGCCGCCUUCAGUGCAAGGUAGCCUUUACCAACACGAACGCCGCCUUCGGCACUAGAACGCCGCCAACCGCCACGAACGCCGCCUUCAGUGCAAGGCAGCCGUCACCAACAAGAACACCGCCGCCUUCAAUGCAAGGUAGCCGUCACCAACACGAUCGUCGUCACCAAUAGGAACGCCGCCGUCGUCGGUACUCGAACGCCGCCACCAUAACGAACGCCGCCACCUUCCGUACAAGGUAGCCGCCACGAACUCCAUCGCCUUUACUACAAGGUCGCCGCCACGAACGCCGCCGCCUUCACUACAAGGUCGCCGCCAUCAACACGAACGCCGCCACCUUCACUACAAGGUCGCCGCCAUCAACACGACCGCCGCCACCAACACCACGAUAUCGCCACCGCAAGUAUACCCUAGUAAUAGUGACGUCCUUAGGGCCCGAUAGGUUAAUAAAACCAAUAUUAUGUUCAUUUGUAAAACUGUGGUAGGCAAAAUUAUUUAUUCGAGCGCAUCCAUUAAGUGUUAAA